UUACGGCCAUACCAGAUUGAAUCAGGGGUACUCGUACGAUCACCGAAGUUAAGCAACAUAAAGUCUGGUCAGUACCUAGAUAGGUGCCUGUUUGAGAAUACCAAGUGCUGUAA